GAGUUUAGUUUACAGAUGGUUCUGUAGUCAAAUUGCAAAUUUGAUAAAUUAGGGUUCAAUUCCCUCUUAACUCU
rnacentral:tRNA from 3 species